rnacentral:ncRNA from 1 species
UAUGAUAGAGGCGCGGUGAAUAUAAGUAACUUUGAUGUUGGGCUUUUUAUUCAAAAUGAAAGGAUUUACCGCCGAAAUCAAAGGUUUUUAGCCGAAAAUCUUUGGUUGGGGCAUUAUAUAAUAUGUAAUGCACUGUCACAUUAAUUAAUGUGGGGCGCUAUCAU